rnacentral:misc_RNA from 1 species
UCAUCCAAACCCAUCAGACUUCUCGGCUCUCCUUCUUCUCCACUCCUUACACACCGAAAAACCAGUGUUCAAAUUCACCAUUUAUUUUCUUCUCGUCAAUGGCUCGUGCUAAACGGAAGUCUCCUAUUGCUGCGGCUGCUUCGUCUUCUUCAUCAGCCUCCGACGACAUCCCUGUCACCACAUUAUGAAAGAAAUUGAGGGGAAAGAAGAAAUUACCUGAAUCGAAAUCAACCAGUGCCUCUUCCGACCCAUCCAAGGAUGUUGAACCCACUGCAUCGGCACCAGAAAAGAAAAAGAAGCGGCAA